GCGGCCAUGGCGGAAUUGGCAGACGCGCUAGAUUCAGGUUCUAGUCGGGGUAAACCCGGUGGAGGUUCAAGUCCUCUUGGCCGCACCA
rnacentral:tRNA from 1 species